ensembl:rRNA 5S_rRNA 5S ribosomal RNA
GUCUACGGCCAUACCACCCUGAACGUGCUCAGUGUUGUCUGAUCUCGGAAGCUAAGCACGGUUGGGCCUGGUUAGUACUUGGAUGGGAGACCCACCUAGGAAGACCAGGUGCUGCAGGUG